GGGUGCAGUGAUUUGUCUGCUCAAUUCCACCAACGAACGAGACCUCACCUGCUAAAUACGUUGGCGAACUCUCCUGGGUUUGUAAAACACUGCUUAGAGACUAUUGCUGUAGCCGAUAGAAGUUCGAGGCAAUGCCA
rnacentral:rRNA from 1 species